rnacentral:rRNA from 1 species
AUACAACUUUCAACAAUGGAUCUCUUGGCUCUCGCAUCGAUGAAGAACGCAGCGAAAUGCGAUAAGUAAUGUGAAUUGCAGAAUCCAGUGAAUCAUCGAAUCUUUGAACGCACCUUGCGCACCUUGGUAUUCCUUGGAGCAUGCCUGUUUGAGUGUCA